rnacentral:rRNA from 1 species
UUUAUUGAGAAUUUGAUCUUGGUUCAGAUUGAAUGCUGACGGCGUGGAUGAGGCAUGCAAGUCGAACGGGACCAUAGGGCAACCUGUGGUCUAGUGGCGGAAGGGUUAGUAAUACAUGAAUAACUUGCCUCUAACCUGGGGACAACGGCUGGAAACGGCCGCUAAUACCGAAUGAGGUGCUUGAAGGAAACUUCGUAGCAUCAAAGUGGGGGCCCACUUUUAGUGGCCUUGCGGUUAGAGAGAGGUUCAUGGGAUAUCAGCUAGUUGGUGUGGUAAUGGCGCACCAAGGCUAAGACGUCUAGGCG